UGGCGAACGGGUGAGUAACACGUGGGCAACCUGCCCAAAGAGGGGGAUAACACUUGGAAACAGGUGCUAAUACCGCAUAACCAUAGUUACCGCAUGGUAACUAUGUAAAAGGUGGCUAUGCUACCGCUUUUGGAUGGGCCCGCGGCGCAUUAGCUAGUUGGUGGGGUAAAGGCUUACCAAGGCAAUGAUGCGUAGCCGAACUGAGAGGUUGAUCGGCCACAUUGGGACUGAGACACGGCCCAAACUCCUACGGGAGGCAGCAG
rnacentral:rRNA from 1 species